AGGACGAACGCUGGCGGCGUGCUUAACACAUGCAAGUCGAACGGUGAAGGAGAGCUUGCUCUCUGGAUCAGUGGCGAACGGGUGAGUAACACGUGAGUAACCUGCCCUUGACUCUGGGAUAAGCGUUGGAAACGACGUCUAAUACCGGAUACGAGCUUCAGUCGCAUGGCUAGGAGCUGGAAAGAUUUCGGUCAAGGAUGGACUCGCGGCCUAUCAGCUAGUUGGUGAGGUAAUGGCUCACCGAAGGCGACGACGGGUA
rnacentral:rRNA from 1 species